rnacentral:rRNA from 1 species
CUGGCGUCAGGAUGAACGCUGGCGGCGUGCUUAAUACAUGCAAGUCGAACGAAGCACCUGCAACAGGAUCCCUUCGGGGUGAAGAUGCUUGUGACUGAGUGGCGGACGGGUGAGUAACGCGUGGGUAACCUGCCUUAUGCAGGGGGACAACAGUUAGAAAUGACUGCUAAUACCGCAUAAGCGCACGAGACCGCAUGGUUAAGUGUGAAAAGAUUUAUCGGCAUAAGAUGGACCCGCGUCUGAUUAGGUAGUUGGUGAGGUAACGGCCCACCCAAGCCGACGAUCAGUAGCCGACUUGAGAGAGUGAUCGGCCACAUUGGGACUGAGACACGGCCCCAGACUCCUACGGGAGGCAGCAGUAGGGAAUAUUGCACAAUGGGGGAAACCCUGAUGCAAGCGACGCCGCGUGAGUGAUUGAAGUAUUUCGGUACGUAAAGCUCUAUCAGCAGGGAAGAUAAUGACGGUACCUGACUAAGAAGCCCCGGCUAACUACGUGCCAGCAGCGGC